GACGAACGCUGGCGGCGUGCCUAGUACAUGCAAGUAGAACGCUGAAGAGAGGAGCUUACUCUUCUUGGAUGAGUUGCGAACGGGUGAGUAACGCGUAGGUAACCUGCCUUGUAGCGGGGGAUAACUAUUGGAAACGAUAGCUAAUACCGCAUAACAAUGGAUGACACAUGUCAUUUAUUUGAAAGGGGCAAUUGCUCCACUACAAGAUGGACCUGCGUUGUAUUAGCUAGUAGGUGAGGUAAUGGCUCACCUAGGCGACGAUACAUAGCCGACCUGAGAGGGUGAUCGGCCACACUGGGACUGAGACACGGCCCAGACUCCUACGGGAGGCAGCAGUAGGGAAUCUUCGGCAAUGGGGGCAACCCUGACCGAGCAACGCCGCGUGAGUGAAGAAGGUUUUCGGAUCGUAAAGCUCUGUUGUAAGUCAAGAACGGGUGUGAGAGUGGAAAGUUCACACUGUGACGGUAGCUUACCAGAAAGGGACGGCUAACUACGUG
rnacentral:rRNA from 1 species